rnacentral:rRNA from 1 species
UACGUAGGGGGCGAGCGUUGUCCGGAUUUAUUGGGCGUAAAGCGUGCGCAGGCGGUUGUGCAAGACAGAUGUGAAAUCCCCGGGCUUAACCUGGGAAUUGCAUUUGUGACUGUACGGCUAGAGUGUGUCAGAGGGGGGUAGAAUUCCACGUGUAGCAGUGAAAUGCGUAGAGAUGUGGAGGAAUACCGAUGGCGAAGGCAGCCCCCCUGGGAUAACACUGACGCUCAUGCACGAAAGCGUGGGGAGCAAACAGG